CUUCCCAAAGUUUGUGACGCAGCUUUUUCUCUCCGUGUGAAGCUCCAGCUGAAGAGAAAGUUGAACAUAAUGAAAGUGUUUGAACUCAUUUCUAAAGGCUGACCCAUCAGAGACCAGACCCUG